GUGUCAGCCGCCGCGGUAAUACGUAGGGGGCAAGCGUUGUCCGGAUUUAUUGGGCGUAAAGAGCGUGUAGGCGGUUCGGUAGGUCCGUUGUGAAAACUCGAGGCUCAACCUCGAGACGCCGAUGGAAACCCCCGAACUAGAGUCCGGAAGAGGAGAGUGGAAUUCCUGGUGUAGCGGUGAAAUGCGCAGAUAUCAGGAAGAACACCCGUGGCUAAGGCGGCUCUCUAGUACGGUACUGACGCUGAGACGCGAAAGCGUGGGGAGCGAACAGGAUUAGAAACCCCCGUAGUCC
rnacentral:rRNA from 1 species